UACGUAGGGGGCAAGCGUUGUCCGGAUUUAUUGGGCGUAAAGAGCUCGUAGGCGGCUUGGCAAGUCGGGUGUGAAAACUCCAGCUCAACCUGGAGACGCCACCCGAUACUGCCAUGGCUAGAGUCCGGUAGGGGACCACGGAAUUCCUGGUGUAGCGGUGAAAUGCGCAGAUAUCAGGAGGAACACCGGUGGCGAAGGCGGUGGUCUGGGCCGGAAGCUGACGCUGAGGACGAAAGCGUGGGGAGCGAAGCAGG
rnacentral:rRNA from 1 species